GACGUAGGGGGCGAGCGUUGUCCGGAUUCAUUGGGCGUAAAGCGCGCGUAGGCGGCCCGGUAAGUCGGAUGUGAAAUCUCACGGCUCAACCGUGGAACUGCAUUCGAAACUGUCGGGCUAGAGGCAGGUAGGGGAGAUCGGAAUUCCCGGUGUAGCGGUGAAAUGCGUAGAUAUUGGGAGGAACACCGGUGGCGAAGGCGGCUACCUGGACCGGUUCUGACGCUGAUGCGCGAAAGCGUGGGGAGCAAACAGG
rnacentral:rRNA from 1 species